rnacentral:rRNA from 1 species
CCUACGCGAGGCUGCAGUGAGGAAUAUUGGUCAAUGGGCGGAAGCCUGAACCAGCCCAGUAGCGUUCAGGAUGACGGCCCUACGGGUUGUAACCUGCUUUUAUACGGGAAUAACGCGCCUUACGUGUAGGGCUUUGCAUGUACCGUAUGAAUAAGGGAAGGCUAAUUCCGUGCCAGCCGCCGCGGUAAUACGGAAGGUCCGGGCGUUAUCCGGAUUUAUUGGGUUUAAAGGGAGCGUAGGCCGCAUGUCAAGCGUGCUGUGAAAUGUUCGGGCUCAACCCGGGCCUUGCAGCGCGAACUGGCGUGCUUGAGUCCGCGGAAAGCAGGCGGAAUUCGUCGUGUAGCGGUGAAAUGCUUAGAUAUGACGAAGAACCCCGAGUGCGAAGGCAGCUUGCUGCAGCGGAACUGACGCUGAUGCUCGAAAGCGCGGGUAUCGAACAGGAUUAGAUACCCUAGUAGUC